GCCGCAGGCUGUGUGGAGGGGGCGGGGAUAUGAAUGAUAUCAUAUCCCUGUUCACUGUGUACCACACAGUGCGGCUGGUGCCCAGUGAUAAGGCUGGGCUGCAAGACAGGACUCCACAGAGCCGGACAGCAUGCACCCCAGGGACCAGGUUGAACUGAUGUAAGUAUGUAUGUCUCUGUAUGCAUGUAUAUAUGUUUCUGUAUGCAUGUAUAUAUG